AAAGGUAAGGACCUCAUGCUUGGGUAUCAGCUGUUGCCUUAGCGUGCUAGAGUCUUCAAAGAGCCACUGCUGACUUUAUUCACUGGCUGUGGGCUGGCACAGUCAGUCACCAAGUUAGUGACAUGG
rnacentral:snoRNA from 1 species